GACGAACGCUGGCGGCGUGCUUAACACAUGCAAGUCGAACGAUGAAGCCCUUUCGGGGGUGGAUUAGUGGCGAACGGGUGAGUAACACGUGGGUAACCUGCCCUGUACCCUGGGAUAAGCCUUGGAAACGAGGUCUAAUACCGGAUAUGACCUGCUCUCGCAUGGGGGUGGGUGGAAAGUUUUGGCGGUGCAGGAUGGACCCGCGGCCUAUCAGCUUGGUUGGUGGGGUGAUGGCCUACCAAGGCGACGACGGGUAGCCGGCCUGAGAGGGCGACCGGCCACACUGGGACUGAGACACGGCCCAGACUCCUACGGGAGGCAGCAGUGGGGAAUAUUGCACAAUGGGCGAAAGCCUGAUGCAGCGACGCCGCGUGAGGGAUGACGGCCUU
rnacentral:rRNA from 1 species